UUAUAAAGAAGAUCCGAUAGAGAUUGUUUGGGAGAAGAAAUACAAUGUUGACUUGAAAAUGCUUGAAGGGUUUCAUGAUGAGUUGACUAAGAUAAAUACAUUAGGUUUUCUGAAAGUGGAGAUUGUAAUUUACUCUAGACAAAAUAGACUCCAUUAAUAGAAAGUGGAGAUUGGAAAGUCUCGAAGAGGAAAGGACAUGGGAUUAGAAGAGGAUAAUUUGCUCGCCCUCUUUGUUGAGACCUUUGACCUUGGUACAUAUCUGCAUAGUCGUAUCUUGUAUGAU
rnacentral:lncRNA from 1 species